CUACGGGUUGCACCAGUGGGGAAUAUUGCACAAUGGAGGAAACUCUGAUGCAGCAACGCCGCGUGGAGGAUGACACUUUUCGGAGCGUAAACUCCUUUUAUAUAGGAAGAAGAUGACGGUACUAUAUGAAUAAGCGCCGGCUAACUCCGUGCCAGCAGCCGCGGUAAUACGGAGGGCGCAAGCGUUACUCGGAAUCACUGGGCGUAAAGAGCGUGUAGGCGGAUUAAAAAGUCAGAAGUGAAAUCCUAUAGCUUAACUAUAGAACUGCUUCUGAAACUCUUAAUCUAGAAUAUGGGAGAGGUAGAUGGAAUUUCUGGUGUAGGGGAAACAUCCGUAGAGAUCAGAAGGAAUACCGAUUGCGAAGGCGAUCUACUAGAACAUUAUUGACGCUGAGACGCGAAAGCGUGGGGAGCAAACAGGAUUAGAUACCCCAGUAGUC
rnacentral:rRNA from 1 species